CCAAAACAUCAUUUACAAAAACUCUUUGUAAACCUAAGGAUUAAAUCUAAUCCCAGUGUGGCACACAACCUCAACUGUUGCGACACCUUUAAGUUAACUCUAACUUGAAUACUCAAAGUACCUAAUACAAUUGCUUCUAAAGAAGAUGUAAGGUACAACAUGAAACACCUACUACAGUUGAACUGGAAUAAGAAUAAACACAAUGAAUCUGGUUCUUCUAUCUCGGUCAAGUAGCUUCAGGCGUGCAGACUUAUAUCUCACAUAUAUUGCUUGCAAAACAGACUUGCUCUUUUGUUCUCAAUUAUGUUUUACUUCUGCAUAUGUGCAGUACCUGUAAAAGAGAACAACUCUGUUAUUUAUUAGAUUAGCAAUUAGAGUUUUAUUGUAACUUAAUUUCUGAUCCUCUAUUGAGUUUGAGUCCUAGACCAAUCUAAACUCCAACCCUUAUCCGGAUGUGUUCUCUUCUAAUAAGGAGACAUCUUCUCCUUAUCUCAUAUGCAAUGUUUUCGAUUGCUACUUUAUCCCCAAGGAUUUAUCUUCUUCACGUGUGUCGCAUGUGUAUGGUCCAUAACAGUUGUGUCUCCCAAGAUGGACCAAGUCCAUUACUGAGUUCAUUUGUCAAUCUUCAAAACUUCAACUGAACUUGGGCCAACAAAUUACCCCUUUUUGAUGAUGACAAACUCUAUGCUUUUACUAAUUAGAUAACCUGCGGAACUCAGCUGAAACACUUAAAAUUUUAACUUAUCAUUAAGGCCAGAUUUAAUUAGGUCAUAAACAUAACUAUUCAGAUUAUACAGUUCAAGCACAACAUCUUUCCCCUUUUGGAAUCAUUGAAAAGUUGCAUAAAUAAUGUGAAUCCCAGAAAUCAAUUAUUACUCAUGGUCACUGGGGCAACUGCAAGUGAAAGCAUGAUUUAGUUAAUCAAAAAUCAACUUGACAAGAAGAACUAUUAAGAUCAGAAUUAACAUACAGCAAGAGAACUUCAUAUUUUCAUUGAUAAGCGAUGCUUCUACAUAGCAGUUCACAAAAAGAAAGACAAAAACUAUUAACCAUGAGCAAAGAUAAAAAGUAACAGAACAGAUAAAGUCCCUAAUCUAGGUAACUGGUGAUUUUUAGACUGGUUCCCAACAGGACAAGAAACCUAAGGCUUUGAGGAGCUGGAGGGUUGGGUUUGUAGCAGAUUAAGAAUUUGUUGGAGCAUUCCUUCAUUCUUCUCUUUUUCUUUUGCAAGUUCAGAUCUCAACCCAUUCCUUUCUUCCUCCAAUUCAACAAUUCAAGCUUGAAGCCUUGCAAUCUCAGCAUCUUUUGUCCCAACCUCCUGAACCAAGGCUCUGACCUUGCUAUUCACAGGAGUCUUCACUAAAGAACCAGGUUCAACUGGGCCUACACUAAGGGGAUAAUCACAUGCUUGGAGGGUCUUGAUGCUAAAGUGCUCUUUGCUGGAAGCAUUUUCCUAUUUCUUCAAGGGAACUUUCAGCUUGUCCAACACAUCAGUCAGAAUAAAUCCAUAAGGAAUGGCAUGAGCCUUUGAACCAUUGAGCACUCUGUCUAGCAGCUUACAGUGAAAGCAGACCAGUUAAUCUUCUUUCCCUCCAAUAAGCACUGCAUAAGGACCAAGUCCAUAUAGUUUGUUGUAUGCCUCCUCUCAUGUCUAGGAAGCAGACAUUUGUUCACAAAUUCAAAGAGCACUUUAUGCUCUAGCUCUAACUCUUUUGAACCGCCCUUGGUCCAGACACCUCCUCAGCAUCUACAGUAUCACAAAAAUUCCUUGUGAUUUGAACUUCAGAAUGUAGACCGUCCGGACAAGGCCACCUUUGCCUUGUGUAGUCAAUCAUAGCCCUCACUUGGAAUAUUCAGGAUUCUGCCCAGCUUAGGUGCAUCAAAUGUCACCUUUACCUCCUUCACUAUACUGGUUACCAGCCCAUUCUUCACUGUUCCAUUAGCUAUGAACUCAACAAGUUCUUUUCUUGCCAAUCUCCCAUCCGUCUGAAGGACCACGUCCUUCCAUCCUUGUGCCUUCAGUGAAGUCAACAAUCUCACCAUGCCCGGUUCCUCCAGGUAUUUAAGCAAUCUACCUUUCAGAAUUUUUCUUUUGCUAAAUAAGGAAACCUAUCAUGUUCCUGUACUGAUUCUCCUUCUCCUUCUUCUCCACUCCACUCUUCAUCCUCUUCUUCCUCAACUUGUAGUUGUUUUCCCUUUGCAGUUGACCUAGUUCUUUUAGCUAGAGAGGCUUCAGUAGGUACAGACUUGGAGGGCUUCUUUUAAGAAGACUUGUUCCCUUUGGUUUAGCAGUGGGAAUUUCCACAGUCGUACCUCUCUCUUGAUGGACCAGUUCCAUAUCUUCCUCUUCCUCUUCCUCUUCUACAAUAGCCUCCAAAUUUUCAACCAUUUUUGCUUUUCCCUUUUCUUUCUUCUUUCUUAAUCUCCUCUAGUGCCUUUUGUAGUUCAGCCUCACUUUGCCUCACCCUACUUCUUGUGGUUCUACCCCUAGGUGCAACAAUCUUAGGUGAUGAAACUCUGCUCUUAUUUGCUGGUUUGGACACAACAAGGAUCCUUUGUGAGGAAGCCUUGCAUUUCUUAAGAUCAUAACUUGCGUCAACUUUUUUCAGCAUAUAUGCGAAAGUAUCCUCCACAGAUGAACCAGGUGGUUGUUCACUCAAAUUCACCAUUUCCUCAGCAGCUUCCCCUGACCCACUUCCCCCUGACUUCAAGCCUCCUUCUUCUCCACUACCACCGAUAGCGAAAACCUUCCCCUUAUUUUUCUUUCUCCUUUUACUAGAUUCAGCCCCUUCAACAUUUUUGACAGACCCUACCAGAACAAACGUAUUAUUCUCCUUUUUUUCUACAUCAGAAAACAAUAAAAAGUAUUUACCUCUCCUAGGGUUUCUUGACUCUUGUCAGUGUUAGAAGAACCAAGUUCUUCUCCUUCACUUGCAGAGAUGAACUUUUCUGAUUCAGAGCUUGAGUCACUUUCUUUAGGUGUAACUUGUUUUUUUGACUGGCCUUCAAUUUUUCGUUCAAGUCUUUCCUCAAUGGACCAAAUGCAAAUAUUUUUCUGGCUAACAUUUUCUGGUGACAAAAUCUGCGUUUUGGGGGUUCACUAGGAGGAUAUGAUGAUGAGGUGUUGGAGGAAACUGAUGGUGGAGUUCCAGGAUUAUUUUGGGGAUUAGUCAUGGUGGAGAAUUUCUUGAAAUUUUGGGGAUUUUCGGAGAAGAAAAUAGAUGAUCAGAGGUUUGAGAAUAGAGUGACGGUAAUGAGUGAUUUGGGGUUUUUAAAUAGGGGUCAUGAUUAUAUCAUUUGAGAAUUUCGGUCUCCUUGGUGAUUAAUGAGAAUUUCUAAUAUUUAGGGAAGAGACCCGUUAUACUUAGACUCCUAGUUUUAAUGAAACUGGUUCAAUUUGUUCAACGGAUAAAAUUAUCUGGACGUUUGGUCUUUCUAGGACUUCUGCUCAUGAUUGAUAAUUUUAUCUUUCUAAUUGUGCAAAGUAUAGAAACAUACCUAUACUUUCUCAUGAGUAUAUAUUGAUGAACCAGGUUCUUCAAGUAAAACUUCUCUUGAUAUGCCUCAAAUGUCAGAAUAGAAAACUUUGUAAGAGAUCAAUGAGUCAUAUAAACACAUGUCACUAGAUUAUACUAGUUAAAGUAUGAGACUAAGUAAGAAUUAGUCUAGAUAUUUACAUGAAUUAAGAACUCCUAACAAAAAAAAUGUUUUUUUCAUUGUGCAAUCUGAACUGGACCUUUUAGGUGAUCUUAAUCAUCCCAAUUCCAACAUGUUCCUUUCAAAGUUUUCUGUACUUAGUGCCUUAGUGAAUAUAUCAACUAUUUGCUUGUCAGUAGCAUAAAAUUCUAUGGAGAUUAACCCUUUCUCGUAGUUAUCUCUUAAGAAGUGGUGUCUAACAUCUAUGUGCAUAAUCCUUUCAUGAUGAACAUGGUUCUUUGACAUAAUUAUAGAACUAGUGUUAUCACAGAAUAUUGGUAUGCAUCCUACUUCAAUUCCAAAAUCUACAAGUUGUUGCUUAAUCCAUUAUAAUUGAGCACAACAUGAAGCAGCAACAACAUAUUCAGCUUCAGCAGUAGAGAGAGCUACUGAAAGUCUACCAAUUGUUGCUUAAUCCACAGUAACUGAGCACAACAUGAAGCAGCAGCAACAUACUCAGCUUCAGCAGUAGAGAGAGCUACUGAAUUCUGCUUUUUGGUAGCCCAUGAUACAAGACAAGAACCCAGGAAGUGUGCCAUACCUGAGGUGCUCUUGUUAUCCACUAGAAAAUAUGCAUAUUCAGCAUCAUCGUAUCCAAUUAAAUCAAAAUUACUACCUUUGAGAUACCAAAGACACAAAUCAGUGGUGCCUUUCAAAUAUCUCAAUAUCCUUAAAACAGCUAUCAAGUGUGACUCCUUUAGAUUCGCCCAAAAAUGAGCACAAAGCCCUACAACGAAGAUAAUGGCAGGUUUGCUGGAAGUAAGAUACAAAAGUGAACCAACCAUACCCCUAUACAACUUCUGAUCAACUGAUGAACCAGGCUCAUCAAUUUCUAAUUUAGUGACAGUGGCAAUAGGAGUAUCUAUUUCUUUGGAUUCUUCCAUUUUAUACUUUUUUGAUUAGUUCUUUUGUGUACUUCUGCUGAUGCAUCAUAGUUCUAUUUGGACUUUGUUUGAUUUGCAAUCCUAGGAAGAAGUUGAGUUCAUCAUCAUACUAAUUUCAAACUCAAUUUCCAUUAGUUUUGCAAAGUCAUUGCUCAACCUAUCUGUCGUUGCCCCAAAUACUAUGUCAUCAACAUAUAUUUGUACAACAAAAAGAUAUUACCUUUUUCUCUUAGGAACAAAGUGCUUUCAAUUUUACCUCUUCUGUACCCAAGCUCCAGUAGAAAUUUUGAAAAUCUUUCAUACCAAGCUCUUGGGGCCUGCUUGAGACCACAUAGAUCUUUAUCUAGCUUGUAUACAUGUCCAGGACACUCCUUGCUUUCAAAUCCUGGAGGUUGUUUUACAAACACUUCUUCCUUGAGGUAGCCAUUUAUGAAGGCCCUUUUGACAUCUAUCUGAUGAAGAGUGAAUUCCAUAUGUGCUGCAAAACCUAUGAGGAGUAUAAUUGCUUCAAGUCUAGAAACUGGAGCAAAAGUCUCAUCAUAGUCAAUACCUUCCUCUUGACUAUAGCCUUGAAC
rnacentral:lncRNA from 1 species